AUGUUAUGGGGAGCAAUAGAUUGAUAGUUUUAAAUAGCAUGCUAUGCCACAUAGCGGCACCUGCCUAAAUAGGUAGAGGCCAUUAUUUUGUAACUUUACCGAACACAUGUACAUGAAUACUAUUUAAUGGCAUUCUUCUCAAACCUCUAUAACAUGGAUAUAGCCAGCUAUUUAAAACGUUGUAUACCUGAACAAACAAGAGCUGUACUAUCAAAUUUUAAGGGCAAAAUUGGAGGCAUUCUUAACAAAUCCCUGGACAAAAUCGUAACACAGUCUUCCUACACCCUGACUCAGAACCACCCAUAGACACCAGCGCCAAGGUGCAUUGGAUUUGUGUGUGUCUAUGCAGCUGAGGACAGUAUGGUUCGGCCAUGACUAAGUCAUUCUUCGUCAGCUGCAAUCUUUCGCUCCCCUCAACAGGCCAUGAAGGAUGGGUCGAGCCUUCCUCAGAUCGGAAGCUACACGUGGUGUUCCUCGACCCAGUUACUGUUGUCAUGGCUGUGGCUGGCUGAAAAAGCGUCAUCAAGCUGGCACGUGGUCAUGGAGAUGCAUGGUGCAGCCAUCUUCUUAGUUGGUACAAAGGAAUGGUUCGUAUCCCUGAAAUUUACCGGUGGGAUGAGGCUUAUAUUGUUGUCCUUCAAAAAUAUCACUGAGGAUCUCUUUUAGAGGACAUUAGAAUCCCAAGUUACGUCAAAAAAUCUGGCACAAUAUACCCUUUCGACACAUGGAUCCGCUUACCGGCAUGCGGUCGCUAUUAGCAACUCCAAUGGAAACCUAGCUGACCGUGGAUAUCCCAUGCAUGCAUCUAUCGUUUGCGAUUGCUUUGAGAUUUAUGCUACUUUUUAAUUCGUUUUCAAAAUUUAUCUUGUUUUGAAAUGUUAUGUUCAGUUCUUCUCUUGUUUUAUCUUGUAUCAUCAUGCUUCAUUGUGCAUCUGUAAAAAGGAAUGAACUUAUUUUGGACCAUAUUUGCAGAUAGAUGACGAACCAUUAAUUAAGAUGCACUUUGAAACAGGAAGAAAAUUCUAAAAUAACAAUUUGAAGCAAGACAAAUUUGAAAUAAAGUGUCUUAAAGCAAGAACAUACGAUGGAUCAUCCCGUGCAUGGUAUAAUUGCUUUUCUUUCACCACCUUAUCGCCAGAGGUGGCCUCGAUGAGCUACACCUCCGGCAUGGAGAGCCAUGGCUGCUAUUCAUGAUAGAGGUGUCGAGCCCUCAGAAAUCGGAACUGGAUGGAAGAGGAAGUCGCCUCCUCCAAGUUAAUGGCACCAUUAUUCAGAGCUAACAGAUUGUGGGUUGGCCAUCGGCUUGGGUAAAGCUCAACUUGGUUGACAGAGGUAGGUGCACCAGGAGACCAGCAGGGGAGAUGACCGAUGCAAUGGAGCCCGGGAACACUAAGUAGGAAGCAGAGACAUGAAGAAGCAGCACCCGCUGACCGGCAUAGUUGUGGACCAGCAACGUGUAGCUACUGCUGAGCGUCGUCCUGCAGAAUAUGGCUUAGGUUAUAAUACCCUUCAAAAUUGACAUCCAGAUUAGCUUAUACAGCUCAACCGUUUUAAAUCAGUAGAAGGGCAUCUUUAGAAGAAACCCUAUCCUGAAACUACAAAGUCUUUUUCCAAUCGCAUUUCUCUAAAUAGUUUAGGAAAUUAACUGUUCCACAGCUAGCAGAUCCCCUAUGGAUUAUUCCCCUGAACAUAUUUGAACACAAUUUCUUGCACACAAACUCAUUUGGGAGACACAUUUGUACUUAUUCAUUACAUAAUUCGAUUUUAAAUGCCGUAAA